rnacentral:lncRNA from 1 species
UCGUACUUUCAUUACUUAACUGGCAAUGCAUUGAGUAUUCUUUAUCUAAGUGGUGACCCGGAACACUAUUAGUAUACAAACCAACGGAAGACACGACAAAAUUAGGAAAUUAUUAGACAGGUGAAAUAUCUGGUGAUGUCUAGGUAAACAAAGGUAACAUCAAGAUAUGUCAACUGCGAUGGUUCCCACAGUCUGUGGGAACCAUCAAUAGCCCGCUAGCUGACGAAAUGCCUCGCAAGUCUCCACAUGGUAUGUAGGUGCUCGAACGAGUAAGGUAGUUAAGUGCGCAUGAGCAGGAAUUCACGCUCUAUCAAUGAUGAGAGUGCUCCCCCAUACGACCCAACGCUCUGUUAGUGAAGCACUGCAUCAAGGUCAGCACGCAGUGAAUGGUGUAUGUCACACCUCCACCGACCGCAUAAGCGUCAGCUGUGGUGCAUACCUCAUUCAGUAACACGGAGCAUCACCAACCAGACAUUUGUCACGGUCAUUAGCACGCCCAACGAGCCGGCAACUCUCGCUAGCUCACAGCUGGCCUUGGGCAGGAGCGCACCUGCUCCACGCCAUUCCACAACCUCACACCAUUUACCUGAGGGCCAGGACAGGAAACCGGCGGCUUGUCGAAGGUCCCCCAUUUACCUUGAUCUUUUCCAGUUGUACUUUAAAAGUUAACAGAGUUUUGGCAUUUACGGCUUCGGCGGGAAGACGGUUCCAUGGGUUUAUAACCCUGAGGGUGAAAAAGCAUCUCCGGUUCUCAGUCAGGAGAUGCUUCUCAGUCCUUUUACGAAGUCAACACCGGAAAAUGCUGCUGCAGCAAUGGAAGGCCUAGUUACCAAAUGAAAGAAAACACGCUAAUUAAAGCCUUAAUUAAUAGGAGAUGCUUUACACCCAUAGGGUUGUAAACCCGUGGAACCGCCUUCCCGUCGAAGCUGUAAACUCCAAAACUCUGUUGGGUUCUAAAAUACAGCUGGAAAAGAUCAUCAGGGCAAAUCCUGAUAUGAGGAUUUGCUUGAUUAUCAUAUGAGGCGACAUAUGACAAGCCGCCGGUUUCCUGUCCUUGUCGAAGCUACUAGUAUUUAGUGGCCUCUCAGGUAAAACCAAUGUACUUGAGCUGACAAUUAACAAGACAUAUAUGAAAUCAGAUAAUUCCGAGCCUAAUAUAGGGGCAGCGCGCAACAGAGAAGGAUAAUAUGAGUAGCAGCCUGAUGGAUAGUGACACACUGAACAGUAAACGCAAAUAAUACCAAAGAGGAAGAAGACAGACCAUGCAAGAGGAAUGUGAACCACAAGGAUCUGAAGCUGAACAACAAAGACGCAUCGCAGCGGCAACAGCCUGUGACUGACAUGCAAACUCAAGGAAAGAUCAGGAAUUUUCGUGAUCAUGAAGAAAGAACCCUUAGCUGAAUCCAAUUAUAUAGUUUAUAAUGAAGCUAAAGUCCAAGUCGUUGGAGAGUGUGAGAGGCAGGCGAACGCCCCCUAAGCCAGUAUUGUGUUGCCCGGCGCUGCCCUGCUCCCUGUCAUGUCAACACGGCGCUGCCCUGUUCCCUGUCAUGUCAACACGGCGCUGCCCUGUUCCCUGUCAUGUCAACACGGCCCUGCCCUGUUCCCUGUCAUAUCAACACGGCGCUGUUCUGCACCCUGUCAUGUCAACACCAGCCACAUGACGCUGUCCUUCUCCCUGUCAUGUCAACAUCAGCCACACGACACUGCCCUUCUCCCUGUCAUGUCAACACGGCGUUGCCCUGCUUCCUGUCAUAUCAACACGGCGCUGCCCUGUUCCCUGUCAUGUCAACACGGCACUGCCCUGCUCCCUGUCAUGUCAACACGGCACUGCCCUGCUUCCUGUCAUAUCACCACCAGCCACACCUCACUGCAUGCCUGCAAGGUGCAUGAAAGAUCGCCCUGGACGGAAGGCAGGUCGCUCCUUACAUGACGACUCCUGAGACGGAAGAACAGUUUAGACAGUGUGGAGGAGGCGAGGGGGGAGUGUCAGGAUGGACCUGGAUCAGAGGUGACGCUGAGGAUGUUGUCCCACCUCGUGUGUGACCUGGGAUACAGAGAGUGCAAGUCUGGUGCCAGGGAGAGUUAAUUUAACAGCUGGGCGCAGAGUGGCCCUCCUCUACUUCAGUGAUAAUAAUCGUUGUUUGUUGUUAUAGAUUCAGCUACUCGGAACAGGUUCCAAGUAGC